rnacentral:rRNA from 1 species
AUUGAACGCUGGCGACAUGCCUUACACAUGCAAGUCGAACGGUAACGGGCCUUCGGGUGCCGACGAGUGGCGAACGGGUGAGUAAUACAUCGGAACGUGCCCGAUCGUGGGGGAUAACGAGGCGAAAGCUUUGCUAAUACCGCAUACGAUCUACGGAUGAAAGCAGGGGACCGCAAGGCCUUGCGCGGACGGAGCGGCCGAUGGCAGAUUAGGUAGUUGGUGGGAUAAAAGCUUACCAAGCCGACGAUCUGUAGCUGGUCUGAGAGGAUGAUCAGCCACACUGGGACUGAGACACGGCCCAGACUCCUACGGGAGGCAGCAGUGGGGAAUUUUGGACAAUGGGCGCAAGCCUGAUCCAGCCAUGCCGCGUGCAGGAUGAAGGCCUUCGGGUUGUAAACUGCUUUUGUACGGAACGAAAAGCCUUCUUUUAAUACAGGAGGGUCAUGACGGUACCGUAAGAAUAAGCACCGGCUAACUACGUG